CCUACGGGAGGCAGCAGUGAGGAAUAUUGGUCAAUGGACGGAAGGCUGAACCAGCCAUGCCGCGUGAAGGUCAGUGCCCUAUGGGCGUUAAACUUCUUUUGUGCGGGGGCAAUAAUGGUCACGUGUGGCCAGACGUGAGUUCCGGACGAAUAAGCAUCGGCUAACUCCGUUCCAGCAGCCGCGGUAAUACGGGGGAUGCAAGCCGUUUCCGGAUUUAUUGGGUUUAAAGGGUGCGUAGGCUGUGAGGUACUUCAGCGGGGAAAUGCCCCCGCUCAACGGGGUGAAGUGCCAUUGAUACUGCCCGGCUGGAAUGCGUAUGCGGUAGGAGGAAUGUGUGGUGUAGCGGUGAAAUGCAUAGAGAUCACACAGAACACCGAUUGCGAAGGCAUCUCACGAAUCCGCGAUUGACGCUGAUGCACGAAAGCGUGGGUAUCAAACAGGAUUAGAUACCCGAGUAGUC
rnacentral:rRNA from 1 species